AACAGAUGUAUUUAACCCAGACAGCUCAUCCUUGGGAAAAAAACAGGUACCAGAUGUAUUAGAUUCUCCAAAGCACAGAAAUCACAUCUAAUACAUUGCAAAAGCACAUGCAUGAAAUUCUCUCCAGCCUGUGUGAUGGAAUGAGCUACUUUUAUAUUCACUCCUGAGUUACAGUGUAUACCUAGAUUCCUUGAGAGUACCCAAAUAGCUGAUAGCAGGUUUCAAAAUGGAAAAAGCCUUCAAAAGGAUUUGCAUCCUAGCUUCCCUCUGUAAGAUCCUUCUGCAAGAGAUUUGAGAAUUAGCUGCUGUGCCUGCAGUAUAUUAAAUCUUUGACAGCCAUCCACUUGGGGAAUCCCUGGUAAAAAAAAAAGAAACAACAGAAAAAUAACCACCUCAUUUUGCUUCAAAAGGUUCACAGUAUCACUUGAAAGUGGAGAAUAAAUCACCAUUCUUGAUAA